GACAAUUUAUUUUGCACUUGCUUUGGUUUGCCUCAGGAAUAACCACAAUUCCGCUCUUCACAUGAGAUAAUCACGUGAAUUGCCUUAGAUUCGAAUUGACUCUGCUUCCCCUUCACUUCGAAUUUGCUUUGGAUUUUAGUUCAAAUUUCACAUGUGAUAAACUCCUUUGUGUUUUCUGUUUUUAACCAAUUAUAGAUCCCGAAAGGGACCCUUUAACCCAUUUUUAAGGAGUCUUUGCUGAGAGACUUUGUCAAAAGCCUUUCAGAAGUCCAAGCAAACAAUGGCCUAUCUAUGUACUUAUUCACACUUUCAAAGAAUUCUAAAAUGUUAGUGGGACAGGACUUAUCUUUGUGAAAGCUAUGUUGAUAUUUUCUGAAUAAGGAUUCUCCCUGUUGUCUGAUAACUCUCUGCAAGUUUCGUUGGAGAAAAAGGUUAAACCUAUAUAGGUAGGCAAUUAUUUAACGCAGAGGUGGAAAACUUUGGCACUCCAGAUGUUGUUGAACAUCAUCCCUUAUCAUUGGCCUUCUGUGUGGGGCUGAUGGGAGAUGAAAUAUGACUGCUUCUGGAGGGCUGCAAGUAUUCCUAUGGAAUUCUAACUUGCCCAGUUCACUGAGGAUUCAGAAACGUACAAAAUGUGUUAAAGAUUAUAAAAAGAGAGAAGAAUAUGCUUACUUUGCUAUAUUGUUUGCAAAUUACUGAAGCUAUUGUCCAUAUAUAGUUGGGCACUUCAUUAUAGGAAGGGGCUUGAGUCCAAAAUUUAUUCCCAAUAACUUGCUGUUUUUUCAGAAUUAAGAAGUACUAUAUGAACAGUCCUAGCUAUAUGUUAAAUCCACUAGAUGGUGCUAUUUGUUAACUGGAUAUUUUCUUCUUCCUAGGAGAAAGAGAAGUUUAGAUUCUCUUACCAGUCUCACUGGAGAAGAGUAUACGGGAGUGAUUCAUCACAAAGCCAUUAAUUCAAUCAGCCCUGAUUAUGUUGCAAAAUGAAUAUUUUAUAUGGUCAUAUUUUAUAUUAACAGAUAUGGGUUCACAGAACUGGCGAUUUUGUACAAUUGCUUUUUAAACUUUAUGGAUCUUUGCUUUAUUACGGGAUCAUCCUUGUAUUACACCAGCCAUUUCUGGACCACGGUUAAAGGGCAAGUGUAACUAAAAUAUCAGCUGUAUAAAAACAAUCCGUAAAAUAAUUAUACUUUACAUCUCUGGUUUCAGAAAAUUAACAUUGAAGAGAAACACAGAAAGUGGGUGGGAACAGAUAUUUCAGGAGAUGCAAGAGAUAUUGUGGACUGGAGCCCUUUAAGACUUGCGGGUUGUGAGUGAUCCAGAAGAAUCAUGCCUGGUGCAACUCCUGAACCACUAGUGAAAUAAUGGAAUGGAAGAGGCUACAGGUUUUGCAGAAGUCUGGAAAAAAAAGAUCAAUAUAGCUCAUUCAUGCAGUCCAGGUAUGAGGACAAAAGAAUAUUCUUGGGGACAUCACUAUUUAAGAAGCUUGAUCUGUGACUAAUGAAGGUGUGGUUAAAAGCUUAAGUCACAUCAGCCAGGCCCAAGACAAGAGAAGUGGGUCAGCAAUGGGAAGUGUGACAGCAUCCUUCAUUUCAGCUUAAGGCAAGUGGUCAGAAUAAGAAGUUUCUGUUGUCUGGAGCAUCUUGUACCUGAGGUGACCAUCUAAUGUUGCCUUCUAGCAGGACCAGUCCUCUUUCACAUCUGUAAGAAUAGCACUGUUUUUUAGCACUGAUGGUGUAUAAAACAUAUCUUUUUUGACUAAUGGUUACUCAGAGUGGGUCUACACUGGCCAGAAUAUUCUGGGUUGCUCCUAGAGUAUUCUGUUCCCAGGGCUGCCCUAAAUUUCCCUCUUUCUUCUGCACUCCGGAGUGACACCAGGCAGCUAUAGACACCUGCAUCUUGCUGUGCUGCCUGGUGCCACCACUGGUGCAAGUU